rnacentral:lncRNA from 1 species
GAAGGAGGAGAUGGAGAGAGAGGGGCCGGCCUAGAUGAGGUCGCCAGCGCGCGGGGCGCGGCUGUAGGGGACGCGCACGGGGUGCUCCUGCAGCUGCUGGGAGGGAGGAGGAGCUCGGGCCAGAGGAGAACUUAGCGUAGGUGCACAGGCGAGUGUACUCGCUAGCGGCGGGGACAACGACGGUUGCUCGGAGAUGCUCCGGUCGGCCCCUCGAUUGGAUCGAGCGGGAGCUCGGCUGUGGCUGCGGGCUAGCACUGCUACGGGGACACACACGCCCU